AUUGAACGCUGGCGGCAGGCUUAACACAUGCAAGUCGAGCGGGGGAGGUUGCUUCGGUAACUGACCUAGCGGCGGACGGGUGAGUAAUGCUUAGGAAUCUGCCUAUUAGUGGGGGACAACAUUCCGAAAGGAAUGCUAAUACCGCAUACGCCCUACGGGGGAAAGCAGGGGAUCUUCGGACCUUGCGCUAAUAGAUGAGCCUAAGUCGGAUUAGCUAGUUGGUGGGGUAAAGGCCUACCAAGGCGACGAUCUGUAGCGGGUCUGAGAGGAUGAUCCGCCACACUGGGGCUGAGACACGGCCCAGACUCCUACGGGAGGCAGCAGUGGGGAAUAUUGGACAAUGGGCGGAAGCCUGAUCCAGCCAUGCCGCGUGUGUGAAGAAGGCCUUUUGGUUGUAAAGCACUUUAAGCGAGGAGGAGGCUCUUAAGGUUAAUACCCUUAAUGAGUGGACGUUACUCGCAGAAUAAGCACCGGCUAACUACGUGCCAGCAGCCGCCGUAACAC
rnacentral:rRNA from 1 species